UACGUAGGGAGCAAGCGUUGUCCGGAAUCAUUGGGCGUAAAGAGCGUGUAGGCGGCCCGAUAAGUCCGCCGUGAAAGUCCAGGGCUCAACCCUGGAAUGCCGGUGGAAACUGUCGGGCUAGAGUCCGGAAGAGGCGAGUGGAAUUCCUGGUGUAGCGGUGAAAUGCGCAGAUAUCAGGAGGAACACCAAUUGCGAAGGCAGCUCGCUGGGACGUAACUGACGCUGAGACGCGAAAGCGUGGGGAGCAAACAGG
rnacentral:rRNA from 1 species